rnacentral:lncRNA from 1 species
UCUUUCUGUAGUGGCUGCAGGACAAAGGGCCAUUCAUCACGCUCCAAAGUGCUGCAAAAGGCUCCCGUGUUCCACCGGAGAAGUGCCUGCAUUUGAAUCCAAGCGAGAAAGUUUUCUCCCGGUGCUCCAGGCCGCUCCGGAGAGUAAUGGAGCUUGGCUGCUGCUUUAGGAUUCUUUUGGGUGAGAUAUGGGGGCAAGCACCUUGUCAUGCGCCGCUCAGGCUCCAGCAAAUCUGGGACAGAGAGGGGGUUGGAGAUAACCUUCAGGGAAGGCAGAGGGCAGGAUUGCACUGACCCCAAAGGAUGCUGGAUGUGGUCCCUGAAGCCGUGGCUGCCGCGAUGCCUCGUUGCUGCGGGGAGCAGAGCUGCUGCAGAAGGAAAGAGGUUUGGUUCUCUGCGCUCCUGUGUCCGGAAAGGGAGAGUGGAGAGCGCGGAGCCGAGUUGGAUCGGGCUCCCUCUACCCCAACAGGGUGACCUGAUAAAUUGCCACCAGUCAGCUGAACCUCAGUAA